rnacentral:rRNA from 1 species
AGCUUGCUGGGUGGAUUAGUGGCGAACGGGUGAGUAACACGUGAGUAACCUGCCCUUAACUCUGGGAUAAGCCUGGGAAACUGGGUCUAAUACCGGAUAGGAGCGUCCACCGCAUGGUGGGUGUUGGAAAGAUUUAUCGGUUUUGGAUGGACUCGCGGCCUAUCAGCUUGUUGGUGAGGUAAUGGCUCACCAAGGCGACGACGGGUAGCCGGCCUGAGAGGGUGACCGGCCACACUGGGACUGAGACACGGCCCAGACUCCUACGGGAGGCAGCAGUGGGGAAUAUUGCACAAUGGGCGAAAGCCUGAUGCAGCGACGCCGCGUGAGGGAUGACGGCCUUCGGGUUGUAAACCUCUUUCAGUAGGGAAGAAGCGAAAGUGACGGUACCUGCAGAAGAAGCACCGGCUAACUACGUGCCAGCAGCCGCGGUAAUACGUAGGGUGCGAGCGUUAUCCGGAAUUAUUGGGCGUAAAGAGCUCGUAGGCGGUUUGUCGCGUCUGUCGUGAAAGUCCGGGGCUUAACCCCGGAUCUGCGGUGGGUACGGGCAGACUAGAGUGCAGUAGGGGAGACUGGAAUUCCUGGUGUAGCGGUGGAAUGCGCAGAUAUCAGGAGGAACACCGAUGGCGAAGGCAGGUCUCUGGGCUGUAACUGACGCUGAGGAGCGAAAGCAUGGGGAGCGAACAGGAUUAGAUACCCUGGUAGUCCAUGCCGUAAACGUUGGGCACUAGGUGUGGGGACCAUUCCACGGUUUCCGCGCCGCAGCUAACGCAUUAAGUGCCCCGCCUGGGGGAGUACGGCCGCAAGGCUAAAACUCAAAAGGAAUUGACGGGGGGCCCGCACAAGCGGGCGGAGCAUUGC